UUCGACUCGAACGAUUUUCUUUCAACUCUGUCUCGCGCACCCCUGCUGGAACGGCCGGUUGAGGGAUUUGGAGUUUAGGGCUCAGACAGCUUCGAUCCUUCGCCGAUUCAUUCAAGGUUUAGGUUUAGAUGGGUAAACUUGAAGUGGAUGUGAUCCCAUGGUUGGGAAUCUCAAGACUAUUGGUGAAUCUCGACUCAAGACAUCAAGACUGUGGAAAAUUACUCGAGCCUCGGGGAUUUCAAGGAGCUCAUAUUAUCAAACAAGAAGACGAUGCUUUGAUCGAUGAGGAACGCUUGGCCCAUGAUAACAAACGUCUCCACACGAUCCCACCUAGUUCUUAGGUUUCGAAUUCAUAUUUCUUUUCUUGUAAAGGGAAUUCUUUUGUGUUUUCCUCAUUUCUAUCAAGGUUUCCCGUAUUCAUUUUUCAUAUUCCUUGUAAAAUCGAACUACUUUGUAAGCUUCAAGAAAGCAAGGUUUUGUUUCCCUUGUAAUUGUUCGAUUGGAAUAAAUGAAAUUCAUGAACAUUUUCAUGUAAUUUUUAGAAAA